UACGUAGGGUGCAAGCGUUAAUCGGAAUCACUGGGCGUAAAGGGUGCGUAGGCGGGUUUUUAAGUCAGGGGUGAAAUCCUGGAGCUCAACUCCAGAACUGCCUUUGAUACUGGAGAGCUUGAGUCCGGAAGAGGUGAGUGGAACUCCGAGUGUAGAGGUGAAAUUCGUAGAUAUUCGGAAGAACACCAGUGGCGAAGGCGGCUCACUGGUCCGGUACUGACGCUGAUGUGCGAAAGCGUGGGGAGCAAACAGG
rnacentral:rRNA from 1 species